rnacentral:rRNA from 1 species
GACGUAGGAGGCGAGCGUUGUCCGGAUUCAUUGGGCGUAAAGAGCACGCAGGCGGUUUGGCAAGUCGGAUGUGAAAACCCGAAGCUCAACUUCGGGCCUGCAUCCGAAACUGCCCGACUAGAGGUAGGUAGGGGAGAAUGGAAUUCCCGGUGUAGCGGUGAAAUGCGCAGAUAUCGGGAGGAACACCGGUGGCGAAGGCGGUUCUCUGGGACGGUACUGACGCUGAGACGCGAAAGCGUGGGGAGCGAACAGG